GUCGAACGGCAGCACGGGGCUAUCCUGGUGGCGAGUGGCGAACGGGUGAGUAAUACAUCGGAACGUGUCCUGUAGUGGGGGAUAGCCCGGCGAAAGCCGGAUUAAUACCGCAUACGCUCUGCGGAGGAAAGCGGGGGAUCCUUCGGGACCUCGCGCUACAGGGGCGGCCGAUGGCAGAUUAGCUAGUUGGUGGGGUAAAGGCCUACCAAGGCGACGAUCUGUAGCUGGUCUGAGAGGACGACCAGCCACACUGGGACUGAGACACGGCCCAGACUCCUACGGGAGGCAGCAGUGGGGAAUUUUGGACAAUGGGCGCAAGCCUGAUCCAGCAAUGCCGCGUGUGUGAAGAAGGCCUUCGGGUUGUAAAGCACUUUUGUCCGGAAAGAAAACCGCCUGGCUAAUAUCCGGGCGGGAUGACGGUACCGGAAGAAUAAGCACCGGCUAACUACGUGCCAGCAGCCGCGGUAAUACGUAGGGUGCAAGCGUUAAUCGGAAUUACUGGGCGUAAAGCGUGCGCAGGCGGUUCGCUAAGACAGAUGUGAAAUCCCCGGGCUUAACCUGGGAACUGCAUUUGUGACUGGCGGGCUAGAGUAUGGCAGAGGGGGGUAGAAUUCCACGUGUAGCAGUGAAAUGCGUAGAGAUGUGGAGGAAUACCGAUGGCGAAGGCAGCCCCCUGGGCCAAUACUGACGCUCAUGCACGAA
rnacentral:rRNA from 1 species